ensembl:lncRNA
GAGACCCCUGUCAGAUCAGGUAGGACCAAGACCUUUUGGUCCGGGUAUCAUUUGGGGGAAAACUCAGCUGCCCGCCAACUCCUCCUUUGCCGCCUUUCUGUGACGUUUUACUUGGGGUUACAAGUACCUGGAAAACGGAAGCAAAUGUUUUCUGAGGAUGUUUAUGAAACUUCCGUUAUCAAGGUGUACAAUAACGGGACCCAAACUCUCCUGCAUUCAGUUCGCUUCCUGAGACGCAUGUUCUCCAGGAUUAGCUUGGGCAAAUCUUUACCCAUGGGCGUUUGACCCCCGUGUUUUUUGCAUUGAAACCGUUCCAGUUUUGUCAGUUAGAUAUUUACGGACAAAUCUAUUUUAGCGCAGGGUGUGAAGAACUCCAGGGAGGUCAUCUUUGCCUUCCUUCCUUUUGUGCAUUUAGCUUCUAUGUAUCUGGCGUAUUUAGGUAUUUGCUCCUGUUAGCCAGAAGGGAAAUGGACAUUCUCUGUGCAGAGCUUUUAAGUCUUAAAUUACGGGUCUGGGUCUAACAUCCACUCUGUUCUCUCACCCACCCUCACACAUGGAAACCUGAUGGGCACUGUGCUGUACUGAGAUCCAGGCAGGAGAACCAUUUUAACUUCUAGUAGAUCGAGGGAGGCUCACGUGUCUAGGUGCUGGUGGACUCAGGCCACAGCAUCAACUGGAAAUUGCUGUUGAGAAUAUGCACCUUGUUUUCCAGGUUGGCUAAGUGUAGGCUAUGAAGCCAGUUUUAUAGCUCAGUACACUCAGAGGAAUGGAAUGAUGUCUUUAUUUUUAACAAAAGUUAAAUAGUUAAUUAGUUCACUAGAGGUAUCACUUCAGGGUAGAACAGUCCUUGAAAUUCUGAUAGAAAUCAUGGAUGUUCGAUCUGAAUAACGCCUGCUUUUUAAUGCGUAAAUUUGACUUCUGCUUGGACGUGUUCUUAACCCCAAAUAAUUUGGGUUUUUUUUUUUUUUUUUUGCUUUCUCCAUUCCAUGGAAGCUUGUAGGGUAAGCUUCCUUCCUCAUCUCUUCCUUUUUUCUCUCUUUUGUACAUGGAGAAAUGUAUUUUUGUACCAUAUCUCAUACCUUGAAGAGAAACCUUUUUUAUAUCUUCAGGGCUGUAGAACAUAUUAGUGUAACACAUCCUUCAACGUGAUAUGUAAACAUCCUGACGAAAACUACUGUGGAUCUCUGUUUUAGUUAAGACUCAGUUUUUUAGAUAUCUUCAAGGCAUCAAUGUUAAUUGCCCAGUGCUUCAGUAUCACAGUAAAUACCGAGAACAGAAAAGAGUCCAGAAGAGAAAAAGGACCAGCUACCUCCAGAUUGCUGGAUUUCUGUGGGUGUUUGGGGAUAAUGUUUGGAGCAAUCUCUUCCUUGACAUCCUAGCAAAGAUGCUUUCGUGGCACAUCAGCCUUCUGUAAAUAUAUUUUCCAGUACCAAUCAGCGUUACCUGCCUUCCGGGUUUUUUGGUUUGCUCGUUUUUGUUUUUGUACCCCACGUCAUUUCUGGUAGCAAAGUGCAGCAACAGAAUUUCCUGAAAGCUAGCCUUGUGACUUAUGCCCGGGGUCUUAACUGAUGAAGGUGACCGAGUGACAGCACGGAGAGAGGUUAGUGCCGUUGAAAGAAGGCUUUUAAUACCCACAGUUUCCUGGAGACAACAAGCAUACCAUGCCGCGUGGGACCACAGGAAGCCUGAUACACGCAGGGUCAGGAAGCAGACGGAGGGGAACUGGGUCUGUGCUCUUCUGACUGUGGUGAGAAGUAGCUAGUUGGGGACAUCACCUGUUGGAACUAAGGGUGAGCAUGUAGGAUGGGGUCAGUGCUUGGGAGGGUUAUAAUAGGACUUUUGCACACCCACGAGGGCUGGCUUGCAGGAAAGAUGAAAAUCACUUUGGUCGUUAGUCUGGCCCCGUGAUUCGGCAGCCUUCUGGUUAGGAAUAACAUGUCAGAUGUCCAGUGCAGAAUCCGAAACAUGGCGAAGACACCUUCUCACUAGUGGGAAUCCUGCUUUGCUUCAUCUCCGUGCUUCCCCCUGCUUCUUAAGAUGCUUUUGAGGAACGAUACCUGCCUUACAGCGUGACACCUGAGCGCUUCUCCCUGAUGGGUUUUGAACUGGCUGAUUGAAUCCAAAAUCCAGCUCUCCCAUCCAGCCAGCUCACUUUAAAAGGAAUGCCUGGGACUUCCCUGGCGGUCCAGUGGUUAGGACUCGGUGCUCUCACUGCCGUGGCCCGGGUUCAACCCCUGGUUGGGGAACUAAGAUCCUGCAAGCUGCUCGGCGCGGCCAAAGAAAAUUAAAAAUAAAAGGAAUUCUUUAAGGUCCUAAAGGUGUCAACCUGCUCCCCCAGCUUUUUAAAAUAAGACAUCAUCAUUUUUGUUUAUGGCCAUUUGAGUAGUUGAACCUUUCCUCCUCACUUGUGAAUAAUAGAAGUUUAUAUUUUUGCAGGAUCUAACACAGUACCCUUAAAAUUAGUAUUGGAUAACCAGCAAUAUGAUGUAUAGUAUCGGGGAUAAACAAACCUUGUCCAGCGUACUCAAUUCUGUGCUCUGCUCUUCAUUGAUUCCUUGAUAUGUAGGAGAUACCCCAGGACCAGUUUUUCCCUGGUGGUGGCAUAAAAAGCCGAUCGUCCUUUGCACCGUCUACUGAAGAUCUGCGGCAGCUAAUGUUAUUAUGAACCAUAUGUUCUAAUGUCUUUUUGCAUAUUUAAAGGUUUUAUUGUAGUGUCAGUUUAAUAUCCGCAUGUGUGUUAAAUCUCUGAAUACCGUAAUUAACUUGAUUUCUUGUGGUGGUGAUUAGCUCUCACUUAAAAUCCAGCGAAGCAAUUAUUUCCCUCUUAACUGGAAAUCAUAUUUGUGUGGUAUGGUACCCAUCAUCCACAGUGUAUUCAUGAGUCAAAUUUGUAUUUUGUGUAUCUGGUUAUAAAUCUUACGUAGCAUUUAAUUUGAUACUAUAAAUCCACUUGAUUUGAAUAUAGUGGUGUGUGUGUGUGUGCAUAUGUGGUGUGUGUACACUUUAGUUUCAUGAGCCUUGGGAAACUGAUUCUACAAAUAUCAUAAAUAGACAUAAAUGUAUAAGGCUUAUUUUUUUGGCAGAGCAAUCCGUACGUCCCUCUUAUUUAUUAAAUCACUGGCUUUGGUGUUAUGUAGAGAUAUUUGUAGACCGAUCUCAGAACAGAAUUAAAAUAUUGUGAAAAUUACAGCUUAAUAAAUGUUUAUGGUAAUUUUGUUG